GCAUGAGUUUGGUAGAAAGCUAGCUUUGCCUGUUGAUAGACUAAAUAAUGCUUUAUUAGUCGAAGUAGCUAGUGGCAAGUUUGUACCUGUUAGCCAUCGUAUGAAAAACGUCUUGAUCGACCUUAAUGGGAAUAAGUUUCUCGAGGAAUUAUUGCCUAUCGAACUAAAUGGUUUCGACAUCGUCUUGGGAAUGGAUUGGCUUAGCGCCAAUGAUGCCGAAAUUUUGUGCAAGAAGAAGAUAGUUAAAGUAAACCCGCCUGGGAAAGAUUCGUUUAUGGUGUAUGGGGACAAACGCAGAGUGAAUUCUGGAAUCAUUUCUCUAAUGAAAGCCAGAAAGUGUUUGACCAAGGGAUGUACAUCAUAUUUAGCAUUCGUGAUUGAUGCUAAGAAAGAAAAGAAGGUGAUGCAGAGUAUUCCAGUGGUGUGUGAUUAUCCGGAAGUAUUUCCCGAGGAUCUUCCUGGAUUACCACCUGAUAGACAAGUGGAGUUCAGAAUAGACUUGUUACCAGGAACCACGCCAAUAGCAAAAGCACCUUAUCGAUUAGCACCGACGGAGAUGAAGGAGCUAAUGAUGCAACUUCAGGAGUUAUUGGACAAAGGUUUCAUUAGACCUAGUUCAUCGCCCUGGGGAGCUCCGGUGUUAUUUGUAAAGAAGAAAGAUGGAAGUAUGAGAAUGUGCAUCGAUUACAGAGAGCUGAACAAGGCAACAAUAAAGAAUAGAUAUCCGUUGCCGAGGAUUGAUGACCUGUUUGAUCAAUUGCAAGGUUCGAGCUAUUUCUCGAAGAUCGAUCUUAGGUCAGGAUAUCAUCAGCUGAAAGUAAGAGAGCAAGAUAUCGAGAAGACUGCAUUCAGAACUAGAUAUGGACACUACGAGUUCUUGGUUAUGUCGUUUGGACUAACCAAUGCUCCAGCAGCGUUCAUGGAUUUGAUGAAUAGGGUUUGUAACCCGUUCCUUGAUAAAUCCGUGAUAGUGUUCAUAGACGACAUUCUGAUUUACUCGAAAAGCCAGGAGGAGCAUGGCAGACACUUGCGAGAAGUGUUAGAAGUCUUGAAGAAGGAGAAGCUGUAUGCUAAGUUCUCCAAAUGUGAUUUUUGGAUUCGUGAAGUCCAAUUCUUGGGUCACGUGGUCAACCAAGAAGGGAUAAUGGUUGAUCCAGCGAAGAUCGAAGCUGUGACGAAGUGGGAACAACCGAAAAGUCCCACGGAGAUUCGAAGCUUUUUAGGAUUAGCCGGAUAUUACCGAAGGUUUAUCCAAGGCUUUUCUUCGAUUGCUACUCCAUUAACAGCUUUGACCCACAAAGGAGCUACUUAUGCUUGGAGUGAGAAGCAUAAAGAAGCAUUCGAGAAGUUAAAGAAGAAGCUAUGCGAGGCACCGAUACUUUCUCUACCCGAUGGAGUUGAAGACUUCGCUGUUUAUAGCGAUGCGUCUGGUGUUGGAUUGGGUUGUGUUUUGACCCAAAGAGAAAAGGUGAUAGCAUAUGCGUCUCGACAGCUGAAAGAGCAUGAAAAGAAUUACCCGACUCAUGAUUUGGAGUUGGCAGCGGUAGUUUUCGCUCUGAAAAUAUGGAGGCAUUACCUCUAUGGCACGAAGUGCAAACUUUUCACUGAUCAUAAGAGUCUCCAAUACCUCUUUAAUCAGAAAGAAUUGAAUAUGAGGCAACGACGCUGGCUAGAAUUACUUAAAGACUAUGACUGCGAGAUACUUUACCACCCCGGUAAAGCUAAUGUUGUUGCUGAUGCUCUCAGUCGGAAAGUCAAUCCCGAAAGGAAAAGGCCAAGAGCGUUGAGAAUUGAAGUUGUCUCAACUAUUUUGGAAAGUAUAAAGAAAGCUCAGAGCGAAGCUUCUGAGAAGAAUGACAGAAAGGAGGAACGUUUGGGCAAAACGUUGGUGUUCGGUGUAAACAGUCAUGGACUGAAGGUGUUCCAAGAUCGGAUUUGGAUACCUAAGUCAGGAGGAGUUAGAGAUCUUCUGAUGGAAGAAGCUCACAAGACCAUGUACUCGAUUCAUCCGGGUAGCACUAAAAUGUAUAGGGACCUGAAACCCUACUACUGGUGGCCGACGAUGAAGCUUGAUGUUGCAAAGUAUGUGGCCGAGUGUGUGACUUGUGCGAGAGUCAAGACACAACAUCAGAAACCGUACGGGAGUUUAGAACCAUUGCCUGUGCCUAUGGGUAAGUGGGAAGACAUUGCUAUGGAUUUUGUCACUAAACUGCCCAGAACAAAGAAUGGUCACGACAUGAUUUGGGUGGUCGUUGAUCGAUUCACUAAGAGUGCGCAUUUCAUAGCAGCCAAGGAGAAAUGGUCUAUGGAAAAGCUUGCGAAUUCUUACGUGAAGGAAAUUGUGAGGCUUCACGGUGUUCCGUUAACGAUUGUAUCGGAUCGUGAUAGCCGUUUCACCUCAAGGUUUUGGAAAAGUCUACAAGAGGAAAUGGGUACCAAGUUAUGUUUAAGUACAGCUUACCAUCCGCAGACUGAUGGUCAGAGUGAAAGAACGAUACAAACACUUGAAGAUAUGCUGAGAGCAUGUACCUUGGAAUUCCUAGGUAAUUGGGAUGAACAUUUACCUUUGGUAGAAUUUUCCUAUAAUAAUAGUUUCCACUCGAGCAUUAAGAUGGCACCUUAUCAAGCUUUGUAUGGACAGAAGUGUCGUACGCCGUCUUGUUGGCUUGAGGCUGGGGAAAAACAGUUUAUGGGACCUGAGAUGGUCCACCAGACUGCUGAGAAGUUGAAAGUGAUCAGGGAAAGAAUGUUAGCAGCUCAAGAUCGUCAAAAGAGCUAUGCUGACAAGAAGCGAAGACCGAUGACUUUUGAAGUUGGAGAUUCGGUUUUGCUUAAAGUCUUGCCGUGGAAGGGACUUAUAAGAUUUGGUAAAAGGGGAAAGUUGAGUCCAAGGUUUAUUGGACCGUUUAAAGUUCUUCAGAGGAUUGGGAACCAAGCUUACAAGCUUGAACUACCAGAGGAACUGAAUGGAAUUCACAACACUUUUCAUGUGUGUUAUUUGAGGAAGUUCAUGGGAGAAGUUCCCGAUAUAAUUCCAAUUUCUGAAUUGAGAAUUGAUGAAAACAAGAGGUUAAUUGAAGAACCAGAGGCAAUUGUUGACCAAAACACUUAGAAGUUUCGACGCAAGAUGGUCGAAUUAGUGCUGGUUUGUUGGAAACAUACGAAUGGGUCAAAUCUCACCUGGGAAACGGAGAGUGACAUGUUGAGUCGCUAUCUGCAUUUGUUUGUUGAUGUGUGAUUCCGGAGACGGAAUCAUCCUAAGGGGGAGAGAAUUGUAACGCCCGCGUUUCCAGGCUAGGCAUUUUCGUUGAUGUAAUAGUCUGGGUUAACCUUUGUAACCCUUUUUGAAAUAAUAGAAGUAUAUUAUUUGAGUAUUAUGUGUUUUGUGCUUAAUUGCUUAAAUAUGUGAUUUGAUUAAUUAAGAAUAAAAUGAGCGUCAUAAUUUAAGUGUAAAAUUAACUUGAUAUCCUUGGAUAAUGUUGUAGUAGUUGAAACGAGGUUUCCGAGUAUAUAAAGAACGCCCAAAUCUGACUUCAUAUGAGGAAGUUAUGAUUUUCUGAAGUUUCGACUUCGCGGUAUGCAGCCCGAAAUACUCGCUUUGAGAUCGAGCGGUUUUUAGUCGAAUCAAUCUAAACGAGAAUCGAAGAUCUCGUUGUUGGUAUCGAAGCGAUGAUAAGUUAGGUGGGAACGGACGUCAAUCGAAGAAGUUAUGAAUUUAUAACGAAGUUUUUCUGUCCCGGCCUACUAAAAAUAAUUAAUAAAAAUAAAGUCAAAAUUAGCCGACGAAGUCCAAACGAAAAUUGUAGAGCGUAGUCUCACCUACGCGUGGAUAUAAAGAAAGUCGAAAAUGGAGUUUGUAUGAAGAAGAUAUGAAUUUCGAAGUUUAUUAAAUAAUUUGUAUUUAAAUUUAAUCUUUAAUUCGGAUGUAUAUCCGAAGGAGUCACCGAUCUGAUCCGAAGUACGCCCAGCGUACCGUGAAGCAUGACGCACCUCGCACUCGAGUUCUUCGGAUGACGCAUGCCAUGACGAUUCGGACGUGUACGCCCAGCGUACUCCGAGGCUCCAGCCUCCUAUAAAUAGGAUGCGAGGGUUCCGGGUAUUUUUGCUCAUUUCUUCUCCUUUUGUGCCGAAGCUCUGCGCAUAAAUCCCCGAAGCCAUCCCGUAGCCCCAGAUCUCAUAGCCAAAUUAAGAAGGAAGUUUCACGCUCCCGGGAUCCCGAGAAGUGCGAUUCCCCAGCCGAAGCUCUGCCCGCAAGAAGUUCGAUUUUUGUAGAGAUCUUCCAAAUCUGCUAAGGAUUACUACUUUUGUAAGCCGUAGUGCUGUCCGAUCAUCUUCUGAUCAAGUGAGUGUAUACUACCUUUCAUAAACACGAUAAUAAUACAAGUAUGGUUUGAGUGUAUUAAGUAUAUUGUUGUUUAUAUGCGUGAGUGUGUGGUUACUUUCUUCUAACGCAUAAUUAUGAAGUAUUUUAUACGAAAUACGUGUUAUGUGUAUAAUUUUGUGGUUAUGUGUGUGAAUGUGUAUUCACUUUCUUCUAUCUCAUAGAUAUGAUUUAUUCUCUAUGAAAUAUGUGUUAUGUGUGUGUGCCUCAUCUGUUACGUGGAAUAUGUAUUGAUUAAAGCAUGCUAUACAUGUUUUUUUUAACUAUGUAUAAAAAUUUAUAUUUUUAUCUACUAAUAUGUUGGGUAUAACAUGGGUAGAUAGUUGGUGUGUAAUAAACAUAUGAUCGGCCUCGUUGUUGUUUGGAUUCAGUCAUCUAGCGGAGUUUAGAUGACGACCACAGACUUUUCUAGACAGUCCUGUGGAACGCUAGCAGGUUCACCACCUGUAGGUGUUAAUGAACUUGGGUGUUCAUUCGCUGUACUCCAUCCCCCUCAUGGUUGCCUUAUUUGACUUAUAUUGCUGAGGAACCCCCGAAGCAUGUGUUGUCGCCCCGAUGAAAUAUUCUUAGACUAGGUCCCUUAUGUCAGUUGUCUUAGGGAUGUAAAGUGAGAAUAACGGGAAUGGGUAAUUGGGUUAUUUUUGGUUGGUGGAAUUAAAUAUAAUUAUUUAUUGUGGGUUGAAAACCCUAUAUGCUCACCAGGCUCCCAAGCCUGACCCACUCAGUUUUAUUUGUAUUACAGGAAGUGGCGCAAGGGCAUAAGAUGGAUGAACCAUCAAGUUGUUUUGUUUACAAGUCUGUAUAUGUAUAUAUUUGUUGAAUGACUUGUAAUGUUAUCGUUUAUGCUUUAUGGUCUGUAUCGGAACAUGACAUCCCGAGUUUUGAUUAUAUAAUGAAAAUGCAUUUCUUUUAUGAAAUGCUUUGGUAAACAUUGUUUUAUCACGUUUUGUUUUUGGGAACAAAUUCCGCAACUCUUUCAAAUCAAAAGGAUUUACUCUGAAAUUAUUUUAAAAGCAUAAAUAAAAAUCGGUCUUUUCUGGCCGAGAUUUUGGGGAUGUCACAGUUGGUAUCAGAGCAUUAGUUUAAGCGAACUAGGAAUUUGUAGGAUUUCUAGACUUAAACUUAGAAUGCUAAGUGAAAUUUUGAGAUGUGUGUCUGUUAUGAUUUAGACACGAGCACUAGUUUAUUUUAGGAAAGUUGCCUAAAAUGCUUUUAUGUGCUAAAUGUUAUAUGUUGCCAUAUAUGAUAUUAUUUGUUCGGAUCUAUGGUCUGUUGCCGACCGGAUCUAGAAACCUUAUGUGUGUAGGAUUCUAAGCGUACGUCUACGAUAUUAGAACUAGCAUGUAAACGUUUCGGAGUGAUAAGGAUGAUUUGAAUAUCUAUCAUGAUUGAGGAUCUAAUUUCACCUUAUUCGGUGUAGAUCAAAAUGGUGAGAACAAGAAGUGGAGUUGGAAAUGCUGACGAAAACAGGAAUCAACCACCAGUGAUUGAACAAAUACCUGUCGUAGCAGCAGCACCUGAGCCAAUAACCAUGGCUGGUGUGCAAAUGAUGAUUCAAACAAUGUUGGAUCGUCAGAUGGAUGAAACUAGGCGGUUGCUUCAACAGAAUCGUGAAGAACUGUCAAUUCGUGUGGAAGAGCCCGAAUUAAAUGAAGGGCACUCGGAAGGUGGAAACUUCAGUGGGUCUGUUGGUCAAGCCAACCCACCGAUAGUUAGGCAAAACAACCAUGAUGGAAGGAAUGAUGGAAUGGGAUGCAAGUACAAGGACUUUCUAACUUGCAAACCAUCGACCUUCAAUGGAAAGGAGGAUCCGAUUGGAGUUAUGGAUUGGAUCUCCGAAAUGGAGUUAGCCUUCAUGACUUGUGGCUGCAGAGGCAAGUUGCAGACUAUCUAUGCAGUGCGUCAGUUCCGAGGUGGAGCCGUUCGUUGGUGGAACACUCUAGGGAAGACUUUAAGCCCUAAUGAGCCACUGCAAUUGACAUGGGCAGAAUUUUUGGUGCAGUUCAAACGCAAGUUCUGUUCGGCCCAAAAUUUGUUGGAGUUGGAGAAUAAGUUUUUGGCAUUGACGAAAGGCAGCAUGUCAGUUGAUGAAUACACCAAUAACUUCACCGAUAAGAUGGAGUUUGCCUUGCGUAUCGUCCCAGACGAGCUGACAAAGGUGGACCGGUAUGCGAAGGGACUCCCAUGGGAGUACGAGGUGCCAGUACGUCAGGCACAUACUCUAGAGGCAGCUAUCUGGGCUGCCAAGUCUGUUGAGAACAUGAUUAAGGGGAGAACCACCGACAAGGUUGAGGUUGGUGAGAAGAGAAAGUUUGAGGGAACAUCUGGUUCCGGUAAGAAAAGUAAAUUUUCGAAAUCUGAUUCGAAAAAGUUUGGUGGAGGAAAAGGAGGCGAAGCGAAGUGGUGUGAUAAGUGUAAGAAAAAGCACUUUGGAAAAUGUAGUGAGGAUGUAACCUGCUACAAGUGCGGAAAAAUUGGGCAUUUUGCCAAUGAAUGUCCGAACAACAAAAGGAUGUGUUUUGGUUGUAAUGAAGAGGGGCACAUUUUGAAAGACUGUCCGAAGAAAAAGGAGGCAGCUAAGCCCAACAUUCCACCAAAGCCGAAGGCGAGAGCCUUCCAGAUGACACUCGAAGCUGCGAAAGAUGAAGCUGAUGUCGCUUCAGGUACCUUUCUCGUAAACGAAUUACUUGCUCAAAUUUUGUUUGAUUCUGGAGCCAACUACUCUUUUAUUUCGCAUGAGUUUUGUAGAAAACUAGCCUUGCCUGUUGACAGACUAGAUAAUGUUUUAUUAGUCGAAAUUGCUAGUGGCAAGUUUGUACCUGUUAGCCAUCGUAUGAAAGACAUCUUAAUUGACCUUAAUGGGAAUAAGUUUCACGAGGAAUUAUUGCCUAUUGAACUUAAUGGUUUCGACAUCGUGUUGGGAAUGGAUUGGCUUAGCGCCAAUGAUGCCGAAAU
rnacentral:lncRNA from 1 species